GUUACCGGUUGAAGCUAAAGCCCGGUUGGAACCGUUCGGAAUUGGAAGAGUUGGAUCGUGAGAGCGGGUAUAUGGACUUCAAUGUACAAACGAGAGACAACGAAGGGACACAACUUGACUAUGCACAACUACACGACCGAGUGGGCAUGGAGUUAUUGCAUUGUGUUAACGAGGCUGGUGUAGCACUUGGUGAAGAUGAGGGAAGUGGAUCAUCUGAGAAAUCUCUUAGGAAAACAAUGAAGAGUUUCGUGAGUCGAUUCCACAAGAUGGCAGCUAUGCUCUCUUGCCAUGGAAGUAAAGCCG